UUUGACCUCAAAUCAGGUAGGACUACCCGCUGAACUUAAGCAUAUCAAUAAGCGGAGGAAAAGAAACUAACAAGGAUUCCCCUAGUAACGGCGAGUGAAGAGGGAAAAGCUCAAAUUUAAAAUCUGGCGGUCUACGGCCGUCCGAGUUGUAAUCUAGAGAAGUGUUUUCCGCGCUGGACCGUGUACAAGUCCUUUGGAACAAGGCGUCAUAGAGGGUGAGAAUCCCGUCUACGACACGGACUGCCAAGCGCUUUGUGAUACACUCUCAACGAGUCGAGUUGUUUGGGAAUGCAGCUCAAAAUGGGUGGUAAAUUCCAUCUAAAGCUAAAUAUGGGCGAAAGACCGAUAGCGAACAAGUACCGUGAGGGAAAGAUGAAAAGCACUUUGGAAAGAGAGUUAAACAGUACGUGAAAUUGUUGAAAGGGAAACGCUUGAAGUCAGUCGCGUCUUCAGAAAUUCAGCUGGGCUUCUGCCCUGUGUACUUUUCUGUGGGACGGGCCAGCAUCAGUUUCGGCUGCCAGAAAAAGGUGGGAGGAAGGUGGCACCUCCGGGUGUGUUAUAGCCUCCGAUCGUAUGUGGCAGCUGGGACUGAGGACCGCAGCACGCCUUCAUGGCCGGGGUUCGCCCACGUAACGUGCUUAGGAUGCUGGCGUAAUGGCUUUAAGCGACCCGUCUUGAAACACGGACCAAGGAGUCUAACAUGCCUGCGAGUAUUUGGGUGGCAAACCCAUAUGCGCAAUGAAAGUGAACGGUUGGGACUUCUGUCAUGGAAGGCACCGACGCCCGGACCAGACCUAUUGUGACGGAUCCGAGGUAGAGCAUGUAUGUUGGGACCCGAAAGAUGGUGAACUAUGCCUGAGUAGGGUGAAGCCAGAGGAAACUCUGGUGGAGGCUCGUAGCGAUUCUGACGUGCAAAUCGAUCGUCGAACUUGGGUAUAGGGGCGAAAGACUAAUCGAAC
rnacentral:rRNA from 1 species